GGGGAAUUGCAGAGAAUCCCUCUGGAUCCCGCUGCGACCGCCGUGGAACCCUCUGAGAACACCUGGGAACCCCUGGGACCCCCUUAAGGAAGCGCCUGGAGGGGAGAACUGGGGGGAUCCGGAAAUUUGGGAGAUCUGGGGGUGCAAAGAAAGAAGUGGAGCAAGUGAACCAUUAUAGGAACAUACUGAAACCGGUAGAACAAUGCCCAGCACCUGAUGAAGACCUUCCUGACUUCAUCCCUGGGACCACUGGCCCAAUUUGAGACCACCGACCCAAUUCAAGAGAAGAAUUGCGCACGCGUGAAGGAUUAAUAACCUCAUUUUAAUACAAUGCGGGGAUGGGAGGUGCUGGGGUUAUGUAUAUGUAUUAUUUUGGGAAAUAAACAGGAGGCAAAAAUCCUUAUGUAGUGCGGUCAUGCAUUUUGAGAAUGACUCCCCUGUGCUGCCCACCAGUGUAAUAAACAUGCAACUUUCUAACUUUUGACUAGUUAGAGAGACUUUGUCCAUGAUCCUCAGUUUUAAUGAUUCAGUUACAAAGCCAGCCAGGAGGAGGCUCUGCUGGGCUGUGAGACCAGCUCAGGUCAUGGACCCCCUUGGUGCAUCCUGUGGAGAAGUGGCUACAUGACAGAAAUCACGUAGACAUUCGCUUGUUAGCCGACCAGGAGUUGGGAAAGUACCGAACACAGCUAGUUGGAGUUUUUGCACCUGCAAGAUAGCGUGUCCUUGGGCCUAGCUGGGUAUGAUAACAAGUGGACAGAGAGACGUGGGAAAUAGAGAAUGUAGGCCCAAAGGAAUGAGGAAGAGUUGAUGGUAUAGUUUAACCAAUAGUUCGCUUGGCUUACAGAAUAUUCAUAAGCUUAUUACUUGCUGUAUAAGUGUCUGAUGCUCUCUUCAAUAAACGGAACUUGCUGUUGA